rnacentral:misc_RNA from 1 species
UAAAACUCAAUGGAAUAGAUGCCUGAAGCAAAAAUAUAAUCCCAUACAAUUGUCAAAAUUGACAAGUCUCAUUCUACUAAGCAUGCAAAACUGAGGUUUCUACCUAGUAGCAAAAGAAAAACAAUAUUAAUAGAAAACCUUAAGGCAACAAGGAUUCAAAGUUCUUCUACAAAUUCACUAAUCGUCGUCUUCCUCAUCGUCAUCAUUUCCACCAGCUGCGUUCAAAGCAUUGAGUCUCUCGAUCAACUUAGCUUUCCUCUCUUCAUAAGUCAGCUUCUUAAGGUUGUACCUCUUGUGUGUCUUGGGAGGUUGCUUUCCAGACUUCUUUGGACUUGGGUCUGCGCGUAUGGCAGCAUGAACCUUUUUGUACAUCUCCUCAAGAUUGUCUGCCUCAAGACCCGCCUUGAUGUAUAAGCUGAAGUGUGUCUGAUAUUUCUCAGGUUCAUCUUCCAUCAAAGUAUUCAUAUAAGCAGCAACGUGGCCACCAUAGAUAUACUUGCGGUGA